GUACGUUUUUUUAUCAGACGGUCAGACUUCUGCUCUCUUCUGAAACGAAAAAAUGAGUCGUUAUUUUUUAAUGGGCCUUAAAAACGGGUAUGGACAACAAACAAAAACAGCCAAGGCAAAUUGCAAGGUUCGUACGAACCUUACCUCGGCGUUGUUGACAAACAAUAUACCUUGAAGUCAAAAGGGUGACUUUAUCCUUUUAUCCUCUUUUUUCUCGUUUUUAUAAGCAAAAAUUCCAUGUAGGUAACAAAAGGGGUUGAUGAAUUAUUCGUCUAAUAAUUUUAAUGUGUCAUAUUGAUAAAUCGUUCACUCUUUCUUGCGACGAAAAAUUGAGUCGUAAUUUAAAAUGGGCUAUAAAAAAGGGUAAGGACAAGGGGCAAAAAACAGCCAAGACAAAUGUCGAGGUUCGCGUGUGAUGAAAAUAUUAAGCAAAAGUGGAUUUCAGCUUGCAUGCGGUUGCAUUUUCAGGGCCGUUUUGCCUGCUGUUCAUACCCUUUUUUUUCUUCCAUUAUGUGUAUAUAUAUACUGAAUAUAUACUGAAAAUAUACUGAAUGCGAGUACGCGUUGACAAUAAAUCGAAAACUAUAGAGGUGCUACCGUUAAAAUCGUUAAAAGUCAAACCCAAACACACAGACAACGCGAAGACCACGAAGCAAGUGGAUAGUGGAGUAGGAAAAAGUGAAAGAGAAAAUAGAGAGAACGCGAAACGUAACGCAACAAGGCAAUAAACAGUGAGUAAAGCAACCGCUGAAACGACGUGCGACGCGUCGAAAUAAAAGUGUGUAUUAAAAAAACCUCAAUAGCACCCACAUUACGACGAGAAAACUCAAACGACAAAACCAUAGUUGAAUUGAGUGAGAAUAAUAUUAUAUAUAUAUAUAUAUAGAGAGAGAGAGAGAGUAAAUACACCGCUACAAUGUCGGAAGAAGUAGAUCGCAACGAUCCCGAGCUGAAAUACCUUUCGGUGGAACG